ACAGACAGACAGACAGACAGAGGAUCUGCAGAACCAUUGCUCAUCUUUCUGACCAAAGAUGAAGAAACAGCCUCCAAGCCAUGAAAUCAGCUGCAGGAAGGUAUAGGUAUCACAAGGUCACGGGAAUCCAGGCCAGGUGUCACUUCAUCUGGGGACUCAGACAACUUCGCAGUCUCAGCCACACCACCUGCGGGCCUUCAGACACACUUCACCAGAGGUGUCCUAGCAAUGUCACCCUCCCAGUUUGACGGAGACCGUGCCAUGCAAGCGAGUCAGACCUCAACUGCUAGGCUCACCCGGCACCUGGGAUGUGAGGCUUUUCAAAGCAGUCUUCUUCAGAAGAGGGCAUUCUACCUGUAAUGGCACAGGUGCUAGAGUUCUGACAUUUCUCAGUCCAGAGGGACCACAAUAGUCUUCCUUGAGUCGUCUUAGCAAAGCUGAGUGUGCUGACAAUCCAGCCCAGGGUCAAAUGGAAGACAGAGGGCAAAUCUCGUGAGAAAUCCCUUCGUAGCCCAAGAGAGAGGCCUGCUCUGCUCUCCCGACACAGUCAAUAUUGCUACGAGCUCUUGGCACUGAAGGCCAUUCCCAUUUCCUGUAUUACCGCAUCUCACCAUUCUAGCCAACAAAAACAGAAUUAGAAAAACAAUUGAGACAUCUACCAGGAUGUGAAGCAAAUGGAAUAAUAGUGAAGGCAAAACAGAUGUUUUAGUGUGGGGGGUAAGGGAGUGUAUGUGCUUCUUUGUUACAUGGUAUCGAGAAAUGGCAUUCCUUUUAUUAUUAGUGCAAAAAGUCUUUGUUAUUUUAUUUGCUCGACUCGAUUUUUCUAUUCUAUAAUUGUUAUUUCAUUUCCUCUUUCUAAUGGCAGGUGUAGAGAUCACAUUUAGAGCCGGCAGUACCACUCACUGGCUGUCUCUAUUUUUACCUGCAGGCUUCAUUUAUCUGAACAAAGGAGGCGCUCUAAUUGAAAAUGGCCUGUAUUUGUCAAAGUAUUUAUAUAAAAAGUCCUUAUAUAAUAACAUUUAAGUCUUACUGUAAAGUCUUUCUUCAGAAACCAACAUCAACUUUCCACUGCCUUAAUCAUGAUUCUAUGUGGAAAGUAAUUGUAAAUGCCUAGACAUAUUUAAUACAAGCUGAUUAGAAAAAAAAAGUUCACUAAUUGAAAGAUGUACCGUUAGAUUUUUAAGGAUGUUCUGCAUUUUCUAGGUGACAAUUUGAAUGUAUAAAAUUUACAAAAUAUUGAGGCUGAGAAUGUGGCUCAGUGGUAGAGU